rnacentral:rRNA from 1 species
GCAUCGGGGUUGGUGGAAAGCUCCGGCGGUUUGGGAUGGGCCCGCGGCCUAUCCUCUUGUUGGUGGGGUAAUGGCCUACCAAGGAGACGACGGGUAGCCGGCCUGAGAGGGCGACCGGCCCCACUGGGACUGAGACACGGCCCAGACUCCUUCGGGAGGCAGCAGUGGGGAAUAUUGCACAAUGGGCGCAAGCCUGAUGCAGCGACGCCGCGUGAGGGAUGACGGCCUUCGGGUUGUAAACCUCUUUCACCAGGGACGAAGCGUGAGUGACGGUACCUGGAGAAGAAGC